UACGUAGGUGGCGAGCGUUAUCCGGAAUGAUUGGGUUUAAAGGGUGCUUAGGCGGGCUUUUAAGUCAGCGGUAAAAAUUCGGGGCUCAACCCCGUCCGGCCGUUGAAACUGGGGGCCUUGAGUGGGCGAGAAGUAUGCGGAAUGCGUGGUGUAGCGGUGAAAUGCAUAGAUAUCACGCAGAACUCCGAUUGCGAAGGCAGCAUACCGGCGCCCGACUGACGCUGAGGCACGAAAGCGUGGGGAUCGAACAGG
rnacentral:rRNA from 1 species